UACGAAGGGUGCAAGCGUUCCUCGGAAUUACUGGGCGUAAAGCGUGCGUAGGUGGUUCGUUAAGUCUGAUGUGAAAGCCCUGGGCUCAACCUGGGAAUGGCAUUGGAAACUGGCGACCUAGAGUGCGGUAGAGGGUAGUGGAAUUCCCGGUGUAGCAGUGAAAUGCGUAGAGAUCGGGAGGAACAUCCGUGGCGAAGGCGACUACCUGGACCAGCACUGACACUGAGGCACGAAAGCGUGGGGAGCGAACAGG
rnacentral:rRNA from 1 species